rnacentral:rRNA from 1 species
GGAAACCGGAGCUAAUACCGGAUAAUAUUUUGAACCGCAUGGUUCAAAAGUGAAAGACGGUCUUGCUGUCACUUAUAGAUGGAUCCGCGCUGCAUUAGCUAGUUGGUAAGGUAACGGCUUACCAAGGCAACGAUGCAUAGCCGACCUGAGAGGGUGAUCGGCCACACUGGAACUGAGACACGGUCCAGACUCCUACGGGAGGCAGCAGUAGGGAAUCUUCCGCAAUGGGCGAAAGCCUGACGGAGCAACGCCGCGUGAGUGAUGAAGGUCUUCGGAUCGUAAAACUCUGUUAUUAGGGAAGAACAUAUGUGUAAGUAACUGUGCACAUCUUGACGGUACCUAAUCAGAAAGCCACGGCUAACUACGUGCCAGCAGCCGCGGUAAUACGUAGGUGGCAAGCGUUAUCCGGAAUUAUUGGGCGUAAAGCGCGCGUAGGCGGUUUUUUAAGUCUGAUGUGAAAGCCCACGGCUCAACCGUGGAGGGUCAUUGGAAACUGGAAAACUUGAGUGCAGAAGAGGAAAGUGGAAUUCCAUGUGUAGCGGUGAAAUGCGCAGAGAUAUGGAGGAACACCAGUGGCGAAGGCGACUUUCUGGUCUGUAACUGACGCUGAUGUGCGAAAGCGUGGGGAUCAAACAGGAUUAGAUACCCUGGUAGUCCACGCCGUAAACGAUGAGUGCUAAGUGUUAGGGGGUUUCCGCCCCUUAGUGCUGCAGCUAACGCAUUAAGCACUCCGCCUGGGGAGUACGACCGCAAGGUUGAAACUCAAAGGAAUUGACGGGGACCCGCACAAGCGGUGGAGCAUGUGGUUUAAUUCGAAGCAACGCGAAGAACCUUACCAAAUCUUGACAUCCUUUGACAACUCUAGAGAUAGAGCCUUCCCCUUCGGGGGACAAAGUGACAGGUGGUGCAUGGUUGUCGUCAGCUCGUGUCGUGAGAUGUUGGGUUAAGUCCCGCAACGAGCGCAACCCUUAAGCUUAGUUGCCAUCAUUAAGUUGGGCACUCUAAGUUGACUGCCGGUGACAAACCGGAGGAAGGUGGGGAUGACGUCAAAUCAUCAUGCCCCUUAUGAUUUGGGCUACACACGUGCUACAAUGGACAAUACAAAGGGCAGCGAAACCGCGAGGUCAAGCAAAUCCCAUAAAGUUGUUCUCAGUUCGGAUUGUAGUCUGCAACUCGACUACAUGAAGCUGGAAUCGCUAGUAAUCGUAGAUCAGCAUGCUACGGUGAAUACGUUCCCGGGUCUUGUACACACCGCCCGUCACACCACGAGAGUUUGUAACACCCGAAGCCGGUGGAGUAACCUUUUAGGAGCUAGCCGUCGAAGGUGGGACAAAUGAUUGGGGUGAAGUCGUAACAAGGUAGCCGUAUCGGAAGGUGCGGCUGGAUCACCUCCUUU